AUUGAACGCUGGCGGCAUGCCUUACACAUGCAAGUCGAACGGUAACGGGCCUUCGGGUGCCGACGAGUGGCGAACGGGUGAGUAAUGUAUCGGAACGUACCUUUCAGUGGGGGAUAACGUAGCGAAAGUUACGCUAAUACCGCAUAUUCUGUGAGCAGGAAAGCAGGGGAUCGCAAGACCUUGCGCUGAUUGAGCGGCCGAUAUCAGAUUAGCUAGUUGGUGAGGUAAAGGCUCACCAAGGCGACGAUCUGUAGCGGGUCUGAGAGGAUGAUCCGCCACACUGGAACUGAGACACGGUCCAGACUUCUACGGGAGGCAGCAGUGGGGAAUUUUGGACAAUGGGGGGCAACCCUGAUCCAGCCAUGCCGCGUGAGUGAAGAAGGCCUCGGUUGUAAGACUCUUUCGGUCCGGGACGGAAAGUACGUAUGGGUUAAG
rnacentral:rRNA from 1 species